CAAUUCUCAGGGUUGCACCUGGAGAGUUUCCAGUACUCUGCCAUUCUCAACUAUGGGAGGAAGAGUCAAGUAGAAGCAUAUCCAUUCCAUUCCUAGCUUGGGCAGUGGCUAGCGGGUGGAAGGCAAUCUGCUACAAGU
rfam:Ornithorhynchus anatinus chromosome 3, whole genome shotgun sequence.